UGGAUCAUCUUUUUCCCAAACUCAAUUCCCUGUAACGAAAUGGGACCGAUCGGCACCUUCAUAUGUUAUUUGGUGGAGAAUCACGAAUUCUUGCUUAAUGUUGUGUAUGCGAAUUUAUGGCUUUCUAAUAUGAUGGCAAUGUACGCGUUCAAGCUGUGCCGGGACAAAGGCAUCACGGAUCCUUCAACCCAGUAUCUAUGGUUUAUGCAAACACUUCUUUUUGGAAUGGGGUCCCUUUACGACUUGCUGGAAUACAACCCACCAAAGAAGAAACACCACUGAAGGAUCUGAAUGGAAGAAAAACUAAAAAUACAUUCCUGGCUUGGGUGGUUAUUCUCCACUGGAGCGCAGGGGAGCCGCUAAAUAUAUGCUUGGAUAAGUUUCCCCACCUUCUAGGGGUGUCUUUUGGUAUUGCAACUUUAGAGGAAGUGAAGAAAGUAGCUUAAGGAACUAUUCUGGGUCAAAAGGAGCUUCCGUUUCAGAGGCAUGUGAAGAUUGACUGAUGGUUAGUAUUUCCCGCACGCACAUAGACUUGCUGUACCAUUUAUUUAUUUAGUUGUCCUUCAAGGAGCUGAAGGUGGCCUUCAUCAGACCCGACUCAUUUUACCCUCGCAGCAACCCAGUGAGGUAGGUUAGGCCGAGAGAGAAAGUGGGCUGAGAUCAUCUACGGAGGUUUCAGGGCAGGAUUCAACUCUACAGCAUCUUGGGAGGCCUGCAGGGUCAGCACCUGAUCAGGAAUUAUACCUCUCCUACAACCCAAGAGUCUCCACGCUUGCUGAAAGGGAAAUCCCAUCCAUUGAGACGUAAUCUGAAGAAAAUGUGACAAGUAUUGCACACUCAAAAGCUUGCAGUCUUUUUCACACUCUUCCCCACACACUUUAGUCCAGUCACUGUGAAAUGAUAAAACGUUGCACUAAACACGCGGCACUACAGCAGGAAUCCUUUUUGUGUCAUGGCAGCUAACCUCUGGAAUCCGAGGACCAAAGCAGACUUACAGUGCAAUCCAAACACAGUUACUCGUGGGCUUAGAUUAGAGGAAAUUUGUUCCGGAUUGCACUGUUAGAGAGAAAUCAAGAUCAGCACAAUGCAGUGACGAUCUGGGAGAUCCUCCAGAUGGUUAGAGGAAGCCGACAUUUUGCAGAAGGAAGGAUAUGACCGUAGUCAGGACGACCUCUCCAGACUGUAUCGAAGCGUCUGUAUUUGUUGGAGGCCACGUUUGCAAAGUGGGCUUCCUUCAGAAUUCUCAGCCCAACUUUCUGGAAGCUGCUGCUGAUGCUGGAAGCUCUUUCCUCCUUGGUGCAGAGAGGUCCAUGCCCCAGAGUAGAGUCUGAGUGUUCCUUCGUCUCCCUCUCCCAACUUUUCUAGCGCCUUGACCUGAAAUAGGUGUUUUCCAUGGCUUAGGGUGUUACUUGUUACAGUGUUGCUGGCUAUAUCCCAAGCAGGACUGCAGCUGGAGUUGUCAACAUGCCUGGAGGAAAAAUGCCAAAUUCUAUGGAUUUGGGGUUUGUUGUUGUAUUCUGGUUUUAAGUUAAAACAAAUGUUUUGAAAACUAUUAUUGGAAGCAACCGCGAAUCAUGAGGGAAAAGACAACUGUAAUAAGUAAACAUUUUUCUCUGUGAUAUCGAGGUGUUUGACACUUCAGCUAAUCGCACUGGCAUUUUCAAAGCUACACCUGUUGAAGUUCCGUGGAUGUUUCCAGAGUCCAGCACUGAGGGGGAGGGGAGUGAGCUGCCAAUUGUUCUAUUAGUAAAAAUGAACAGCAGUCUUGUGUCACUUUUUAAAUUAGCAAGAUCUACUGUGGCGUAAGGCCGGGGGGUCGGAAGGUCCAAUUCCCCGGGGAGAGAGGCAUGAAAAGAGAUUGAUGGAUUGAAGUCAGUUCUCAUCCAUGACCCUUAAUUCUCUCCCCCCUCCCCCAUUUCAAUCAAUGAUGACCUCUCUGGAAGCGCCUGUAUUAGUUAAGGAGGACUCAUGCAUGGAUAGGUAGUUAGAGGCCUCAGACUGGAAGAGCUGGGUUCAAAUGUCAUUUUGACCUGCCAUGGGUCCAUUCCAGACAGGCCAAUAAACACGGAUGGUAAAAAAACUCAUUUUGGGGGGAACUUCACAUGGAUCUCCCCUAAAACCAGUCUGCCCCGUUUUAUUUCCCCAAAACUGGGUUUUUUAAGAAUUGCGCCAUUAGCAAGCCUUUUCAAAAAUCCCAAGUCGCAGCUGCUUGCGAGCGAAUGGCAGGGCAGGAGGUGCUUUAUUGGCCUCCGUUUUCUUUUUAAAAUUUCGCAGCUUGCAUCUGUGCAGCUACACAGGCGCAGAUGGUCAUUUUGUGAGAUGGCUGCAUGGCUGGGGGGGAUUAAUUUGUGCAUGCCUGCAUAGCUACGCAUCGGUGGGAAGUAAAUUUUUAAAACGAAACAUGUCUCCGUGCGAAGGCACG